CCAGGCAGGGCCGGACCCUGAGGCUCCCCAGGCCCUCCGCUACAACGAGGACAACCGGCAGUGAAAGGCAGCCACACUCCUGUGUAUUUAUUUUUCAAUGUUGGAUGUUGGGAUAUAGCAUACAUGCUAAAGAGUGCAUAGAAUGGAUUUGUUUCAUUUAAAGAAUUACUAACUCGUGAAAACCUGUGUAACAGCCCCCCCACCCCACCCCGGAAGGGAAACGAAACCUCAGUAGUGCCCCCUGAGACCCCACCAGCACAGACACCCUGUCCCUCCGCCUGGAGGCAGCCGCUCCUGACCUCCCCCUGCCUCCCCCUGGGGUCUCACCACCUACAGAAGCCCCUGGAAGCAGAGAGUGUGGGGUUGCCUGCCUUUGAAUUUAACAUGGGUGGGAUCCCACUGUUCUUGAGCCUUCCUCUCUUUGUUCACCCUGAAACUAUUAGAUCUGUUAGGUCGCCCCCGAGACUGCAGUUGGCUCAUCCCGUCCUGUAUUUUGGAUUAUACGUGCACAUGUGCUCCGCAGUGAGCUGUGGAGGGACAGGGGCCUUCCCCAGGUUUAGGCUAUUACAAAUAAUACUGCUGUGCAAAUUGGCACGCAUGUCUCCUGGGCACGUGUGAUGUUUUCUAGGGCCGUCACUGCUGGGUCGCAGACAUGCCCAUUUUCCGUUUUUACCAGAUGCCGUCUCCCUUUUUCCAAAGGGAAGUCUUCGACCGUCGCUCCCACCGACAGCGACCACCCCUGUGGCCUCCCCUCCUCCCUGACACGUGGUAUUUUCAGGCCUGUUAAAUGAUUGCCGGUCUGAAUGUUUUAUUGGGUGAAUGAAUCCGUGACUAGACAUUUGGUUGUACCUGCCUCGUAACCCUCCCUGCUUCAAAGAAUCUAGAAGUUUCUGAGUGCCGUCCUCCUCCGGGGUCUCUUCCAGCUCUGCCUCAUGACUUUAUCUCACUGCCAAGGGCUAGGGGAUUGUCACAGGGAUUGGGGAGACAGGGUCCUCUCCAGCAAAAGCGGUAACCGGGGGCCUUAGGCCCCCUUCCUGGGGCCCCAUUGCCGGAAGACCUUCCUCCGACCAGCCCCACCUUGGGCAUCCCAAUCCCCCCCCCUCUCUGGAACCUUCAGCCCCACACGGCACAUGUGAGAAUGCCCAGGGAACGGGAGGCCGAGGGGAGUGUGGGAUCCCAGAAGCAAAGCUGGGGGAAGGGAAGGCUGCUUCAGGCAGUCUGGGUCCCAGCACCUGGCUGAGAAGCCCUGGGUGCAAGUGGCUCCGCAGAGGCCAAACACAAAGCGUGAUCUGGAUUCCUUCUCCAGAUGGAAGCUCUUGUUCCCAUUGGCCUGACUCUUGGCACCGGCUCCUGGCAAUGCCCCAUCUCAUCUAUCUGUGCCCUCCUCCCCUCCGGGCACCGACACCAUGGCUGCCGAGAUCCAAUCCGAGCGAUGCACGGGGUAGUGCGCUCCUCAAGGGACCCUGCAGUUCCUCCCCCCAAGCUAUUCCUGGCCUAGGCGUCUCCCUGCCCCCCAGUCCCCCUGCCUGACCUGACCCCACAGCUGGGAACCAUCAUUUGGCUGGGGGUGGGGCAGCCCCCGACUAUAUAAGUCUGGCCCUAGAUGUCCCAGGCACCCUGGAGGCCCAGACCCUCUCCUGCUGACCCCUGCACACUCCAGCCUGACCACCCUCAGCCAGCCCAGCAAUGACAGAGAAAGCCGCCUCGGAGGCCCCCACCUGUGGUCCGGAGGAGACCUCCUCUGAGCUGGCCAAGGCGCCCACCACAGAGCCCUCUGCAGAAGCGGCAGCCCUGGAGUCCGCCGGGGAAGAGCGGGCUCCCACGCCACACGCGCCUGCCCCCACAGCCCCUGCGGCCCCCGCAGCAGCCACUAAACCUGCCCCUGCAAGCGAAGGUGACAAGAAGGUGGGGCAGGGAGUGCGGGCGGGGGAGCGUUCUCCACCACAGACCUCUUCAUCUCCCCCUACUUCUCCCCCAGAUAGGCCCAGUGCCCCGCUGCGGCUGGCCUUGGAGGAUGUGAGCGACAGCUCGGUGACCGUGAGCUGGGAGCCACCGGAGAGGCUAGGGAGGCUGGGGCUCCAGGGCUAUGUGCUGGAGCUCUGCAGAGAAGGAGGCUCAGAGUGGGUGCCCGUGAACGCCCGGCCCCUGAUGGUGACCCAGCUGACCAUGCGGAACCUGGCUCUGGGGGACAAGUUCUUCCUGCGUGUGGCUGCAGUGAGCUCUGCAGGGGCUGGCCCACCAGCUGUGCUAGAACAGCCUGUCCACAUCCAGAAGAUCAUCGAGGCCCCCAAGAUCCGAGUCCCCCGCCACCUUCGUCAGACCUACAUCCGCCAGGUGGGAGAGCCAGUCAACCUGCAAAUCCCCUUCCAGGGGAGUCCCAAGCCUCAGGCCUCUUGGACCCAUAAUGGCCACGCCCUGGACAGCCAGCGAGUGAACGUGCGCACCGGGGACCAGGACUCCAUCCUCUUCAUCCGCUCGGCCAGGCGCUCUGACUCAGGCUGCUAUGAGCUCACUGUGCGUCUGGAAGGCUUGGAGGCCAAGGCAGCCAUCGACAUCCUGGUGAUUGAGAAACCUGGACCCCCCAGCAGCAUCCGGCUACUGGACGUCUGGGGCUGCAACGCUGCUCUUGAGUGGACACUGCCCCAGGACACAGGCAACACAGAGCUCCUGGGCUACACAGUGCAGAAGGCAGACAAAAAGACAGGGCAAUGGUUCACGGUCCUGGAGCGCUACCACCCAACCACCUGCACCAUCUCUGACCUCAUCGUGGGAAACGCCUACUCCUUUCGGGUCUUCUCGGAGAACCAGUGUGGGCUCAGUGCCUCGGCCGCGACCACCAAGGAGCUAGCCCGCAUCCAGAAGGCAGAUAUUGUUGCCAAACCUAAAGGGUUUGUGGAGCGAGACUUCUCAGAAGCCCCCUCAUUUACCCAGCCCCUGGCUGACCACACCUCCACUCCUGGCUACAGCACUCAGCUCUUCUGCAGUGUCCGAGCAUCGCCCAAGCCCAAGAUCAUCUGGAUGAAAAACAAGAUGAACAUCCAGGGUGACCCCAAAUACCGUGCCCUCUCUGAGCAAGGCAUCUGCACCCUGGAGAUCCGGAAGCCCAGCCCCUUUGAUUCUGGGGUCUACACCUGCAAGGCUGUCAAUGUGCUAGGGGAGGCAUCCGUGGACUGCCGGCUGGAGGUCAAAGGGAAAGGUACGAGGAACGUCCUUCUCCAGGGACCAUCCCUUAAUAGAAGCCACCUCUUCUCCUGCCCGACUAGAUGAGGCUGGGUGCUGGAAAUCAAGGCAAGACAGACGCAUCAGCCACACACUGAAGAGCGACAGGAGGCUGUGACGAAGAGGACGGUGCUGCAGACCUGGGGAUUCGGGGCCACCAGACUCAGAAUCAAGCUCCACGGAUGCCCCAGAACCCCGUUCACACGGUGAUGGCUGAUGGCUUUCCUCCCUGGUACCUGCCUCGCCUCCCUCCCCUAGAGGCCGGAGCCCAGGAGCCUGGGGUAGGCCUGGCAGGUCCCAGGCCCGGCUUCCUGGGCAUGAGGGGGCCUGGGAGGUGCAAAGACUGGAUGCCCCUGCAGAGAGGUGCACUCUGGGUGAGAACCGCUCAAAUAAAGGUGUGUGUUGUGUUUCAGUG